GGCGGCGUGCUUAACACAUGCAAGUCGAACGGUAAGGCCCUUCGGGGUACACGAGUGGCGAACGGGUGAGUAACACGUGGGUAAUCUGCCCUGCACAUCGGGAUAAGCCUGGGAAACUGGGUCUAAUACCGAAUAGGACCACAGAACACAUGUCCUGUGGUGGAAAGCUUUGGCGGUGUGGGAUGGGCCCGCGGCCUAUCAGCUUGUUGGUGGGGUGAUGGCCCACCAAGGCGACGACGGGUAGCCGGCCUGAGAGGGUGUCCGGCCACACUGGGACUGAGAUACGGCCCAGACUCCUACGGGAGGCAGCAGUGGGGAAUAUUGCACAAUGGGCGAAAGCCUGAUGCAGCGACGCCGCGUGGGGGAUGACGGCCUUCGGGUUGUAAACCUCUUUCACCAUCGACGAAGGUUCGGGUUUUCUCGGAUUGACGGUAGGUGGAGAAGAAGCACCGGCCAACUACGUGCCAGCAGCCGCGGUAAUACGUAGGGUGCGAGCGUUGUCCGGAAUUACUGGGCGU
rnacentral:rRNA from 1 species